GUGAGUGUGAGUGCAUAUCGCGCGCUGCAUAUUCCCCACUCUCGUGCAUCGUUCUAUGGAAAACACAAAUACAGAAUCGUUUCUAUAAAGUUUCAUCCGUAAAAUUUGAGCGUGAUGACUAAGCAGCUACAAGUUUGUUUGCUGUUACUAUAGUAACCCCGUCGGUUGCUAAUAGCAACGGGUGUGGGGUGAUUGUAGGUGCAAGUCGCACGCUGAAUCACGCUGCUCAUCACUCCACAAAUAUCUCUCCUAAAACAACUCUAAAAACUACCCACAAUAUUUUAAACUUACAUAAUUUUAAUUACAACCUUGUCACUGCUCGCAAUAUAUCCUUAAAUCGUAUCAAAACGCGUUUACUUUACCUUUCACGCAUCGAAGGUCACGCCGAUCAUGCGAAAAUCAUGAGAAAAUGAAGAAAUUACCACAAUUCAUGAAUUUGUUUCGUAUGUGAUCGCGAUUGUAUCCAUGGCAACAGAGUGGACAUUUUCGCAUUCCUGACAAGGCAAUACAUAAUUUAGUUCUAUAUGGCGUUAGUGUCACUUUCAUCAACGUCAAAACGUGAAAUCAAUUUAUUAUGCUUUUAUUAAGUUAUAAUCUAGUGUUGCACAAUAUCCAGCCGCCAUGUUUGAUUUAAUAUCUUUCACUAGAUUUACGAGUUUGAUGAAUGUGAUUUCCGCUCGUCAAAAGUCGAAACCGUGACACUGCGAUCGUAAACACAUGAUUUAUUCAUGUUCUAGGCCAUUUUUGAUUUGAUCCGAUCGAAAAAUCAAAGGUAGAUUUUUUAUUACGAUUUUUUUUUAGUUUAUAUUGAAUGUAUUAGAUUGAAUUGAAAGCGAAGCAUUCCAAGAUUAAUCAUUGUGAUAGACGUUCAUUCAACAUUAAUUACAAGGCGUAUUACCAUCUUGUUUGAGUUCAGUGUAACAAGAGAACAGAAGCUUUGGGAGUGAUUGAUAUGUCUGGAUAUUAAUGGAAUCGUUAAAAUGUAAAAACGAAAGUAAAUAUUUUGGUUUUUGUGGGGAGUACGGGAGAGUGCGGUGAGUUUGGUGCUUGAUUACUCAUUUGUUUAUAAUCGUAGAGUAUUGAAUGUGGUAUGGUUGGAAAGGGAAUUUAAAGGGGAAUAAUUAUGCGAAAGGAUUAAUUUGUAGGUUUGUUAGUUUUUAUUUU